GUUUACUGUAGAUAAUAAGUCAUUUUAAGUAAAAAGAUUUUGUCUGAUAAGUGGAUUUUUGGAGUGCCAUACAUCAUUGUAAUAACCAAGUUUUUUUCACACAUUGCAGAGAACCAGUUUUUCCACCCAUUGGGGUGUAUAACCUUUUCUGAGAACACAUACUACCCAGCCACAAUCAAACUAGUUUGAUUUCACUUACAGAAGUUCUUGAACAGGCAGAAUUAAUUUACACCAUGAUAGAAAUAAAAUAGUGUUUAUCUCUGGUGGGUGGAGUUUGACUUUAAGUGGGUACAUUAAACUUUCUGGGGGGAUAGAAAUAUUUCAUAUAUCAUUGGCCGAUUGUUAGACAAAUGUCUCAUUUGUUAAACCCUCAUCAAAUUUUAUACCUAAAAUCACUGUAUAUAAAUUUUACUCCAGUUAAAAUAAGAUUAAAUUUUAUUGAUAUUCAGUGACAAGCAGAAUCUUUUCAUUCAAAUUUCUAAAAGUCGUAUUAAGAUUAAAUCCAAGAGGAGUUCCCAUCAUGGCUCAGUGGUAGUGAACCCUACUAGUGUCCAUGAGGACGCAGGUUUGAUCCCUGGCCUCGCUCAGUGGGUUAAGGAUUUGGUGUUGCCAUGAGCUGUGGUGUGGGUUGCAGACACAGCUUGGAUCUAGCAUUGCUGUGGCUGUGGUGUAGGCUGACAGCUGCAGCUCCAGAUUCUACCCCUAGCCUGGGAACCUCCAUGCAAAAGAUUAAAUCCAAGAAAGAAAGGCAUGGCAUGAUGAGAAUAAAUUUUAACAUAUGCUGCCUGUUGUUUUUAUACCUUUGUAAAUUGCCUUAAAUAUUUUCAGGAAAAGAUGUCUUCUGGUUACAAAUGCUGCAUAAAAAUUAUGCCCAAAUUUUCUGUAUUAAAAUGACCAUUCUUGGGGAGUUCCCGUCGUGGCUCAGUGGUUAAGGAAUCCAACUAGGAACCAUGAGGUUGCGGGUUCAAUCCCUGGCCUUGCUCAGUGGGUUAAGGAUCCACCGCUGCCGUGAGCUGUGGUGUAGGUCGCAGACAAGGCUGGGAUCGCGUGUUGCUGUGGCCCUGAUGUAGACCGGCAGCUACAGCUCUGAUUUGACCCCUAGCCUGGGACCCUCCAUAUGCCAUGGGAGGGGCCCUAGAAAAGACAAAAAUAAAAUAAAUAAAUAAAUGACCAUUUUCUUUUCGGUCAUAAUUCUAUGGGUCAUGAGUUUGAGGGCUCAUCUGGGCAGUUCUUGUGUGGGGUGUCUGAUGUGGUGCAGUCAGUUGUCAGCUGGGAUUGCUUUCAUCUGAGGGUCCCCUGAGCUGGAUAUCAACAUGGCUCACUCCAGUGAAAGUGAAUUGCCGGCUCUUGGCUGCAACCUCACUGGGCUGUCAGCCAAAGAGUCUACAGUGGCUUCUCCAGCAGAGCAGUCUAAGGGUUAUAAGGUUUCCUCGAUGGCUACACCAACUCCAAGCACGAGUGUUCCCGUCCUGGACAAGCUGUGUUACCUUUUCUGAUUCAGUCUUGGAUGUCAUGCAGAGUCACUUCUGUAUCCUGCUAGUUACAAUGAAUCACAAACUCAGCAGAGAUUCAAGGAGAGGGGACAAGAGCGCAGCCCCUCACAGGAGCUCUGUCAAAGAGGUCCCAUUCAUUUUUCUUUAAACAGCCACCACUGAAAAGAAAAAGAAUAAAGAAAUGUGGUCUUUUGACCUGAAGAGUUAAGGUCCAUGAGAUUCAACACAUUCUAGCCUGAGUGGACCGUAUUUUUGAGAGAUUUGGAUUUCAUCUGGAAGUUGAAAUCAAUGUUCCUGUACUCAUAUCAUCUCUCUUAGUAGUUUCACCUAAUCAGUAUCCCUGUCUAUUCGGUAGCUGGAGAUGGGGGAUCAGAAUUUGGGAGGAAUUAACAUAAACAUGUCCUUUUGGGUUCAACCACUUCUCAGGGAUGGACGUAUCAAUUACUUGUUCCUUCAUCUAUAUCAGCGUAGGAUGGGUAAGAAUAUAGAGCUGUUAAGGAUUCCUAAGCUCAGAGGACAUAAGGGGGGAGAUUCUUUUUUAAUUCAUAUUAUCACCAAAUUCAUUUUUCAGUCACCUUUAAUUCCUUUCUCUAGGUAGCAAGCGGAAGUUGCCUAAACUGGAAUGGCCAGACUCUAGUUUUAGGGACUAGAAAGGGCGAUCAAGGGUCUCCUGCAGGAAACUAGCUCUGAGGCCUGGCUGGUGAGCAGUGAGAGGGGCUAAGGUUGAACAAAGAGCCCAAUCAUGUAGUAGUGCCUGCCAGUCAAGCUUAAGAGAAAAAACUAAGCUCUCUGUCACUUGUGCAAUUCUUUUUCCUCUUGGCUUCGCGAAAUCCAUUUCAUCUCAUAACAGGACACGGACCAAGUGCCCGCAGAGACAAUGGGUGCUACAGAUGUGUGGUUUUCAUUCAGUUUAUUUGCUUCAGCCUCUUGAAACAUGCCGAAUUGGGAAAAGGGGUGGGCUCUAUAAACCUGGUCUUUAUCUUGAAUUUCACUGUUGAUUUUGGCACGAGGCUUGAGAAAAAUGCUUAUUUAAGACCACCUGGAUUCCUUCAUUCAAGUUGAAUUUUGUAGUAGAAUAACCGUUAAUUUGUUCAGUUCUCUUGGCUCUGACAGACAAUGCAUUCGGUAAAUAUGAAGCCGUAUUACUCUAUUGUGCAAGAAAGAAAUUGAUAUAACCUGGGAGUUCCCAUUGUGGCAGCAGUAGUGAAUUCGACUAGUAUCCAUGAGGAUGUGGGUUCAAUCCCUGGCCUUGCUCAGUGGGUUAAGGAUCCCGAGUUGCUGUGGCUUAGGUUGGCAGCUACAGCUCUGACUCAACCUCUAGCCUGGGAGUUUCCAUAUGCUGUGGGUGUGGCCCUAAAAAG
rnacentral:lncRNA from 1 species